rnacentral:lncRNA from 1 species
UCCGAUCUCGUUCAGGAAAGGAACACAUCCAGACCAUUCGUGUGUGCGGGAACAGAUCUUAGCUGUGCGAUCGCGAGCACGCGGAUCACCCGCAUGGCCUCCCGCGUGGCACCACGUCAGCAUCUGCUGCCACGCAGCACGUUCUAGUUCGCCGGGGCAGCUGAUCGGGCAUCCUACCUGGUAAAACUUCUCUAAAUUGUAUUUUGACC